UACAGAGGGUGCAAGCGUUAAUCGGAAUUACUGGGCGUAAAGCGUGCGUAGACGGUCAUGUAAGUCGGGUGUGAAAGCCCCGGGCUCAACCUGGGAAUUGCAUUCGAGACUGCAUGGCUAGGAUGCGGAAGAGGGAAGCGGAAUUUCCGGUGUAGCGGUGAAAUGCGUAGAUAUCAGGAGGAAGACCAGUGGCGAAGGCGGGUCUCUGGACGAGUUCCU
rnacentral:rRNA from 1 species